rnacentral:rRNA from 1 species
GUCUACGGCCGUGCCACACUGACCACGCCCGGUCCCGUCCGAUCGCGGAAGCUAAGCAGGGUCGGGCCUGGUUAGUACUCGGAUGGGAGACGGCGAUGACGGGCUGCGCGUCUGCC